UAAAACCUCCCCGUCUGCGCUCCGGCACUUUGGUGGUGCUCCGCGUGGAACGGUAACGUCAAACUGUCCUGUCCGUUUGGAAUCGAGUCCUGGUAGUAAAACCUCGUGUCUUGGAUGCCCAUUUUGAAGUCCGCAUUUCAUCAGGAAUGCUGACGCAGUGAAUGAUGGGGAAGGAGCAGCACACCCUGAACAUGUAGUAUGAGGUCCACCGGUCUGGACUGAGAAGGUGAGGAGGGGUCCUGCAGACGAAAUGCCAAGCUUAUCUAUUCUUCAGACAGUUUAGGACCUGCGUUUGACAGAAGAAGACAGCUGUGCUCUUCCACAUUCCUCUGGCUUGCUCUGCAGGCCCCAAAUGAUCGGCCCCCCAAAGCAUGGCUUUCUCUUAUUGGCAGAAGGAGCGUACAGUCCGCUUUCCCUUCCAUCACUCCCCAAUGUCAGAAACGGGCCCCCCACUGUCGCCCACUUGGCGAACAUUAAGAAAUCAUCACCGCUGUCAGGACUACUGUCAGACAGGGGUCAUCGCAUGUAAUGCAGAAUCAGCAGCCUCUUGGGAACCGACCAGCAGGACCGUUUGGAGAAAGCUGACUCUUAAAGAUGUUAAAAACCGCAUGAGAUCUGACGUGCCCCACCGCAUCUGCUCUGACUGAAAUCAUGAAUGAGCAAUAGUGUGUGUCUCUGUCUGUAUCUGUUGGCACAUAGCCUGGAAAAAGUAUGUGGGCCAGUGUCAAGUCUCAUUUUCGUUGGUGAGCCGUGACACCCAUAAAUCACUGCAAAAGCCCAUUAAAUCCACUUUUGUAUAUGGUCUGUAACAAGGCAAUACGAGCAGGAGUUUUGUAUCUUAAUACAUGUGGGGAGGGACUGACAGGAGGAAAACAGGACAGAGAGAUAGUGUGGAAAAAGACAUCAGCCCUUAUAGAAACGGAUUGUUGCUGGGCAAUGUGCAAGCAAAUGACUGUAAGGAUAGAACUAAAGACACGUAAAAUUUGAGUAACACAAACUCCUAGGCAGAAAAAAAACACUUCUGAUGCAGUUUCAUGCAUUUUUUUUUCAACUGCUUACACACAAUUACUGAAACCUGACACUCAAACACCAGAACCACACGCCAAAUCUGCAAAACCAUACACUAAUUCUUGGCCUUUGACUCAGUUUUCAAUUUCAUAAAUCACUUUUUUGCAAAACACAACACACAAUUCGCUAAAACACAAAAAUCUAACAGGAAGUAUCUUGAUUUCCUUUUUCAAACACAAUCAUUGUUUCUGUCCAACUACACAUGGUUGAUGUAUUUCUUCUUCCUUCGUACUGUGUGAUACUAUAUUCACAACCACAAAUGCUUACAGUAAAAAAAUAAGUUUGGUUUCA